rnacentral:lncRNA from 1 species
UGGGUGAUGUAAUAAUAAACUGGUCACAGUCACUAUCAGAAUGGGUGAUGUAAUAAUAAACUGGUCACAGUCACUAUCAGAAUGGGUGAUGUUAUAAUAAACUGGUCACAGUCAGUAUCAGAAUGGGUGAUGUAAUAAUAAACUGGUCACAGUCACUAUCAGAAUGGGUGAUGUAAUAAUAAACUGGUCACAGUCAGUAUCAGAAUGGGUGAUGUAAUAAUAAACUGGUCACAGUCAGUAUCAGAAUGGGUGAUGUAAUAAUAAACUGGUCACAGUCACUAUCAGAAUGGGUGAUGUAAUAAUAAACUGGUCACAGUCACUAUCAGAAUGGGUGAUGUAAUAAUAAACUGGUCACAGUCACUAUCAGAAUGGGUGAUGUAAUAAUAAACUGGUCACAGUCAGUUUCAGAAUGGGUGAUGUAAUAAUAAACUGGUCACAGUCACUAUCAGAAUGGGUGAUGUAAUAAUAAACUGGUCACAGUCAGUAUCAGAAUGGGUGAUGUAAUAAUAAACUGGUCACAGUCACUAUCAGAAUGGGUGAUGUUAUAAUAAACUGGUCACAGUCAGUAUCAGAAUGGGUGAUGUAAUAAUAAACUGGUCACAGUCAGUUUCACAAUGGGUGAUGUAAUAAUAAACUGGUCACAGUCAGUAUCAGAAUGGGUGAUGUAAUAAUAAACUGGUCACAGUCAGUUUCAGAAUGGGUGAUGUAAUAAUAAACUGGUCACAGUCAGUAUCAGAAUGGGUGAUGUAAUAAUAAACUGGUCACAGUCACUAUCAGAAUGGGUGAUGUAAUAAUAAACUGGUCACAGUCAGUAUCAGAAUGGGUGAUGUAAUAAUAAACUGGUCACAGUCAGUAUCAGAAUGGGUGAUGUUAUAAUAAACUGGUCACAGUCAGUAUCAGAAUGGGUGACGUAAUAAUAAACUGGUCUUGAAUAUAUCUAAAACUAAAAGCAUUGUAUUUGGUUCUAAACAUUCUCUAAGACCUUAACUGGUGUGGUGUAUAAAGGGUGUGAGCAUUGAGAAAGCUGAGGAAGCUAAACUCCUAGGUAUAACAUUGGAUGGUCAAUUAUCAUGGUCAAGUCAUAUUGAUUAAGCUGUUGUGAAGAUGGGGUGAAGUUAUCAUGGUCAAAUCAUAUUGACUAAGUCGUUGUUUAGAUGGGGUGAAGUUAUCAUGGUCAAAUCAUAUUGACUAAGCUGUUGUGAAGAUGGGGUGAAGUUAUCAUGGUCAAAUCAUAUUGACUAAGUUGUUGUUUAGAUGGGGUGAAGUUAUCAUGGUCAAGUCAUAUUGACUGUUUUGUUGUGAAGAUGGGGUGAAGUUAUCAUGGUCAAGUCAUAUUGACUAAGUUGUUGUGAAGAUGGGGAGGGGUGUGUCUGUGUUUUUGACACAAAGAUCAACUGUACUAGUUGUUCAGACUCUGGUCUUGUCCCAUCUUGAUUACUGUCUGUUUAUAUGGUCAGGUGCAGAAAAGAAAGACAGAGCAAAGCUGGCUCAAAACAGAGCAGCACGCCUUGCCC